AUGGCGGUGGCGGCGCCGGGGCAGAUCAACAUCGACGGGUCGCCGACGUGGGGCUCCCGCGGCAUCGACUGCUUCGAAAAGCUCGAGCAGAUCGGGGAGGGCACCUACGGGCAAGUGUUCAUGGCGAAGGAGAAGGAGACGAAGGAAAUCGUGGCGCUCAAGAAGAUCCGCAUGGACAACGAGCGAGAGGGCUUCCCUAUCACAGCCAUCCGCGAGAUUAAGAUCCUCAAGAAGCUGCACCACCAGAACGUUAUCAAUCUCAAAGAGAUCGUCACCUCACCAGGGCCAGAUAGAGAUGAGCAGGGGAAGCAUAUCGAGGGCUACAAGUACAAGGGAAGCAUUUACAUGGUCUUCGAGUACAUGGACCAUGACUUGACUGGGUUGUCGGACAGGCCUGGAAUGCGGUUCACCAUACCACAGAUUAAGUGCUACAUGAGGCAACUCCUUACAGGCCUUCACUACUGUCAUAUCAAUCAAGUUCUGCAUCGAGAUAUUAAAGGAUCUAAUCUCUUGAUAGACAAUCACGGUAUCUUAAAGCUUGCUGAUUUUGGCCUGGCAAGAUCUUUCACAACUGAUCCAAAUGCGCGCCUAACUAACCGUGUGAUCACUUUGUGGUACAGGCCUCCAGAGUUGUUAUUUGGAGGCACACAAUAUGGGCCGGCUGUUGAUAUGUGGUCUGUGGGUUGUAUUUUUGCAGAGCUGCUUUAUGGGAAGCCUAUAUUGCCUGGAAAGAGUGAGCCGGAGCAGCUGACCAAAAUAUUUGAACUUUGUGGCACACCUGAUGAGUUGAGCUGGCCAGGUCUCACAAAAAUGCCAUGGUAUAAUAAUUUCAAGCCACCUCACACAAUGAAGAGACGUGUUAAGGAGGCUUUUAAGAAUUUUGAUCGGCAUGCUCUGGAUCUGCUGGAGAGGAUGUUAACGCUGGAUCCAUCACAGAGGAUAUCAGCAAAAGAUGCACUCGACGCAGAGUACUUCUGGACUGAUCCCCCACCAGCUAAUCCUGAUACCUUGCCAAAGUACGAAUCAUCACAUGAAUUCCAAACUAAGAGAAGACGUCAACAGCAGCGGCAAGCCGAAGAAGCAGGAAAGCGGCAAAAAAUACCGCAUCCUCAGCCACACUCCCGUUUGCCACCAAUUCAACAAUCUGGCCAACCUCAUUCACAAAUGAGGACAGGCCAACCUAUGAACAACCCCCAUUCUUCAAUGGCAGCUGGACCAAGCCAUAACUAUGCAAAGCCCCGAGGGCCAAACAGGUACCCACAGGGAGGAAGCCAAGGUGGAGGAUACCCAAAUCGUGGAGGGCAAGGCGGUGGCUACAGCAGCGGCCCUUAUCCUCAACAAGGCCGAGGGCCGCCGCCCCCCUUUCCUGGUGGUGGGAUGGGCGGAACAGGUGGCGCCCAAGGGGUGGAAGUGGCUAUGGAGUUGGCGGACCAAAUUCUCAACAGGCUGGCCCUUAUGGCGCAUCUGGUCCAGGCAGAGGGUCAAACUAUCAUCAGCAAGGUGGUUCUCGCACCCAUCAGCAGUAUGGAAACUGGCAAUAGGACAGUAGUGCAGUACCAUCUCAGUGAACCCUCUCAGUACCUCCGUCUCUGUUUUUGGGAAUCUAUAGAUAACUUCAAAAUUUAGAUGUAUCGCUGUAUGAUGCGUUGAUGUCGAAUAUGUUAGUACAGAAACUGUUUUUGCAAAUCACCUAGGUCAGCCCAUUGUUAAUAAUUAAUUAACUGACACCUUAACAAAUAUGUUAGCGAUUACAAGGUU